CCCCUCUCUGGGUCGUACCUGGAGAGGUUCUAGUACUCUACCAGUCUCAGCUACGGAAGGGAGAGUCAAGCAGAGGCCUACCUAUUCCAUUCCUAGCUUGGGCAGUGGCUAGGGAGUGGAAGGACAUCUGCUACAAGU